AUCCAGCUGACUAGUCCCAAAUAGGACGAAACGCGCGUGCUGGAU
rfam:Schistosoma mansoni strain Puerto Rico chromosome W, complete genome